CACAUUGGCUACGCUUGCUUCUACUAACACUUAUAGUAGACUACUUCUUGUUUCCACACAGUGACAGUAAGUUGACUAACUGUUCAAGACCUCUCCCCUUCACUUCACUCUACUGCAGGGUGGGAGAUGCAACAAUGUCCUUGAGAACAGCAGGAAGUGUGUUGGUGGUAUUUCUCUGGUCUGUGACAGCGGUCCUGGGGCAGAAUGGCUGGAGUGUGACUUACACCACUCAGAGAAUCUGUGCCUUGAAGGGGUCAACAGUGAAGCUGACCUGCUCUUUCAGAUAUCCCAGAGGUCAUAAAGUCACAUCAACCUUCUGGUUCACUAAAAUGGAGGCUGGUAUAGAACCUGAAGAUAUAGGUCAGAACCAAGAGUAUGCAGGUCGUCUGGAGUAUCAUGGGGAUAAGAAGAAAGACUGUACCCUGAAAAUCACAGACCUGAGAGAGAGAGACUCAGCUACGUACACGUUCAGAUUUAUAACAGAUCAGACAAGAGGGAGAUAUUAUGGCGAUCCUGGAGUCACUCUGACUGUCACAGGUCUUCAGGUGAAGGUGACUGGUGGACAUCAGGAUAAGACACUGACCUGUAGCACCACCUGUACUCUGACUGACAACCCCACCUACAUCUGGUACAAGAACGGACACAAAGUAAAGGAGGACACCUCCAGCCUGGACUCAGACUCCUUUAGUGAUACAGACAGUUACUCCUGUGCUGUAAAAGGCCACGAGGAUCUCCACUCUCCUGCAGUGUAUGGACCAAGGAACACCUCAGUGUCAGUCAGUCCUUCUGGUGAAAUAGUGGAGGGCAGUUCAGUGACUCUGACCUGCAGCAGUGAUGCCAACCCACCUGUGCAGAGUUACACCUGGUGGUACAAGAAGAAUGGAGGUGAACAUCAGAGUAUGACAGGACCACAGCAUGUCUUCAAUCAAAUCCAGUCAUCUGACACUGGAGAGUACUACUGUGAGUCCCAGAAUGAGAUGGGGACAGACAGGUCUAGGACCAUGAACAUGGAUGUGAAGUAUAACCCAAAGAACACCUCAGUGUCAGUCAGUCCCUCUGGUGAAAUAGUGGAGGGCAGUUCAGUGACUCUGACCUGCAGCAGUGAUGCCAACCCACCUGUGGACAAAUACACCUGGUACAAGAAGAACGUAACCUCACCAAAAGCAUCAGGACAGAGUUACAGCAUCACUAACAUCAUCUCUGAGGACAGAGGAGAAUAUUACUGUGAGGCCCAGAAUAAAUAUGGACGUCUCAACUCUUCUUCUGUGUUUGUGGACGUUCAGUAUGGCCCAAAGAACACUUCAGUGUCAGUCAGUCCCUCUGGUGAAAUAGUGGAGGGCAGUUCAGUGACUCUGACCUGCAGCAGUGAUGCCAACCCACCUGUGGACAAAUACACCUGGUACUUUCAAAACGAGACUUUUCUAAAUGGAUGUGGACAGAUCUACAACAUAAGUAACUUCAAGUCUAAGGACAGUGGACAUUACCACUGUGAGGCCUGGAAUAGAAAAGGAUCUAGGAACUCUACAGCUCUGAUGAUCAUUAUACCAGGUAAACAAACAGUUCUGACUGCAGCUGUAGGAAUCAUAGUGGUUGUUCUGGUUCUCAUCCUCUGUCUCUCUGGACUCAUGUGGUUCAGGUGAGUGAAGAAGGGAACAUUGAUGUUUGUAUUAUUAUUUUAUCAUAUCACUGAUUUGUUAUUAACUUCAUUCAUUCAUUCAUUCAUUUAUUUAUUGUCCCAACGCCCUUAACUGAAGGUUAGAGCGUUGGACUAGUAACCGGAAGGUUGCAAGUUCAAACCCCCGAGCUGACAAGGUACAAAUCUGUCGUUCUGCCCCUGAACAGGCAGUUAACCCACUGUUCCUAGGCCGUCAUUGAAAAUAAGAAUUUGUUCUUAACUGACUUGCUUAGUAAAAAGAAACUGUUAAACUGUAUUAGUAACAAAUCAACUUCCAGUAGAGAGCAGAACUCACUCUGUUCCUCAUUACAGGAGAUCCACAGGAGGAAGUGAUGCCACAGCAGACACACAGAGUGUCCGUCCUGACUGUAACAGUGACACGUACACAGCUCUGAACAUGAGGACCAUGUCCUCUGACUAUGACACUUUGGCAAGUGUCCAUGCUGACCCUACCAGGGACCCCAACAGUGACACAUACACAGCUCUGAACAUGAAGACCAGGUCACCAGAGUAUGACACCCUGGCAAAUGUGAGACUCUCCCAGUGACACAUCCCCUCAGAUAGAUGCUGAGCCCUCCGAUUAUGAGAACGUAAGAGAACUACCAUGGACCCUGGACUGAAGAGAACCACCACAGAACCUGGACUGAAGAGAACCACCACAGAACCUGAAUUGAAGAGAACCACCACAAAACCUGGACUAAAGACAGCCCCCGCAGAACCUGGACUGAAGAGAGCCCCUGCAAAACCUGGACUGAAGAGAGCCCCCGCAGAACCUGGACUGAAGAGAGCCCACCGCAGAACCUGGACUGAGGAGAGCCACUGCAGAGCCUGGACUAAAGAGAGCCACUGCAGAACAUAGAGUGAAGAGAGCCACCACAGAACCUGGACUAAAGAGAACCACCACAGAACCUAGACUGAAGAGAGCCACCACAGAACCUGGACUGUAGAUCUUCGGCACUAAACCAAAGAAAGGCCUUACAUCUCUAUUAUCCUGCUGUCAUAUCUAGAAGUGUGAGGACAGACACCGAGAGAUGAGAAGAAAGUACAGGGAGUGAACAUUUAAUAAAUAACAGACAUGAAACAAAACACGGACAGUGUCUGGACAAGGGAAACAAAACACGGACAGUGUCUGGACAAGGGAAACAAAACACGGACAGUGUCUGGACAAGGGAAACAAAACACGGACAGUGUCUGGACAAGGGAAACAAAACAUGGACAGUGUCUGGACAAGGGAAACAAAACAACAUCAAUGCUGACAGGGGCAUCAAACUGAGGAAUAGACAGAUUUAAGGGAGGCAAUCAAUAAAGUGAUGGAGUCCAGGUGAGUCCAAUGAAGCGCUGAUGCGCAUAACGAUGGUGACAGCUGUGUGUAAUGAUGGGCAGCCAGGGAGGGGGAACGGGAGCAGGCAUGACAAGUAGGUUUUCCAGACCAUUAGUAAUUAUGUAAAUGCUGGAGUUGAUUUCUCAGUCCUUGACAUUAUAAUGAUGUAGAUUGAUAAUUAAUGGGAUAGAUUAUGCUUCUGCUAUUUUCUAUGGGAUUUUGCCUUUUCCAGAUUUUUUAUAACAUAAAUAUCUGUCUUUUCUCGUGUACAUAUUUGUUUACUAUCUAUAGUUUAGACUUUUCGAUGUUUUUAUUACCUAAUGUUCUUUUCUCAGUGUCUAAUACGGAUAAUAUUGAUAACAGUUUUUGUAAUGUGUAUCUCUCUUGGACCAAGGUGCUCUUGAAAUGUACAAAUGAUCUACUUUGUAUUGUUGUCAGACAUUAUUGUGCAACAGCAUUCAUGAACGUGAAUAUUAAUAACAUAAUCACACUUGUUUUCUUGUGACAUUAUUCAUUAUUACCUCCUUUAGAUAAAGUGUGAUUCAGUGUAAUGUAUGCAUCAUGUUGUAAAUUAGCUCACAAUAAAUACAAAAUAUUGUGUGAAAUAU